rnacentral:rRNA from 1 species
UACGGAGGGUGCGAGCGUUGUCCGGAAUCAUUGGGCGUAAAGGGCGCGUAGGUGGCCCGGUCAGCGUGCGGUGAAAGCUCGGGGCUCAACCCCGAGUCGGCCGUGCGAACUGCUGGGCUUGAGCACUGUAGAGGCAGGCGGAAUUCCGGGUGUAGCGGUGGAAUGCGUAGAGAUCCGGAAGAACACCGGUGGCGAAGGCAGGUCUCUGGGCCAUAACUGACGCUGAGAAGCGAAAGCAUGGGGAGCGAACAGG